rnacentral:rRNA from 1 species
GCUCAGUAACACGUGGAGAACGUGCCCUUAAGUGGGGGAUAAUCUCGGGAAAUUGAGGAUAAUACCCCAUAGGUCAUGGGAUCUGGAAUGACCCAUGGCUGAAAGUUCCGGCGCUUAAGGAUCGCUCUGCGGCCUAUCAGGUAGUAGUGGGUGUAACGUACCCCCUAGCCUACGACGGGUAUGGGCCUUGAGAGAGGGAGCCCAGAGUUGGAUUCUGAGACACGAAUCCAGGCCCUACGGGGCGCAGCAGUCGCGAAAACUUCACACUGGGGGGAACCCCGAUGAGGGAAUUCCUAGUGCUUGGGCAUUUGUCCAAGCUUUUCCCGAGCGUAGAUAACUCGGGGAAUAAGGGCUGGGUAAGACGGGUGCCAGCCGCCGCGGUAAUACCUGCAGCCCGAGUGGUGGUCGAUUUUAUUGAGUCUAAGGCGUUCGUAGCCGGUCCGUUAAAUCCUUGGGUAAAUCGGGAAGCUCAACUUUCCGACUUCCGAGGAGACUGGCAGACUUGGGACCGGGAGAGGCCAGAGGUACUUCUGGGGUAGGGGUAAAAUCCUGUAAUCCUAGAAGGACCACCGGUGGCGAAGGCGUCUGGCUAGAACGGAUCCGACAGUGAGGGACGAAGCCCUGGGUCGCAAACGGGAUUAGAUACCCCGGUAGUCCAGGGUGUAAACGCUGCCGACUUGGUGUUGGGGGCCCUUCGGGGGAACUCAGUGCCGGAGAGAAGUUGUUAAGUCGGCCACUUGGGGAGUACGUCCGCAAGGAUGAAACUUAAAGGAAUUGGCGGGGGAGCAC